rnacentral:rRNA from 1 species
UACGUAGGCAGCAAGCGUUGUUCGGAAUUACUGGGCGUAAAGAGUGUGUAGGCGGUGCUCUAAGUCUGUUGUGAAAUCUCCCGGCUUAACCGGGAGGGUGCGUCGGAAACUGGAGUGCUUGAGGGUAGGAGAGGAACGCGGAAUUCCAGGUGUAGCGGUGAAAUGCGUAGAUAUCUGGAGGAACACCGGUGGCGAAGGCGGCGUUCUGGACUGCAACUGACACUGAGGAACGAAAGCCAGGGGAGCAAACGGG